GACGAACGCUGGCGGCGUGCCUAAUACAUGCAAGUCGAGCGAGCGGAACUAACAGAUUUACUUCGGUAAUGACGUUAGGAAAGCGAGCGGCGGAUGGGUGAGUAACACGUGGGGAACCUGCCCCAUAGUCUGGGAUACCACUUGGAAACAGGUGCUAAUACCGGAUAAGAAAGCAGAUCGCAUGAUCAGCUUUUAAAAGGUGGCGUAAGCUGUCGCUAUGGGAUGGCCCCGCGGUGCAUUAGCUAGUUGGUAAGGUAAAGGCUUACCAAGGCGAUGAUGCAUAGCCGAGUCGAGAGACUGAUCGGCCACAUUGGGACUGAGACACGGCCCAAACUCCUACGGGAGGCAGCAGUAGGGAAUCUUCCACAAUGGACGCAAGUCUGAUGGAGCAACGCCGCGUGAGUGAAGAAGGUUUUCGGAUCGUAAAGCUCUGUUGUUGGUGAAGAAGGAUAGAGGUAGUAACUGGCCUUUAUUUGACGGUAAUCAACCAGAAAGUCACGGCUAACUACGUG
rnacentral:rRNA from 1 species